rnacentral:rRNA from 1 species
AUUGAACGCUAGCGGGAUGCCUUACACAUGCAAGUCGAACGGAGUGGCGAACGGGUGAGUAAUGUAUCGGAACGUGCCCAGUAGCGGGGGAUAACUACGCGAAAGCGUAGCAAAUACCGCAUACUAUUGGAGCGGCCGAUAUCGGUUUAGCUAGUUGGGGGGGAAACGGUUCACCAAGGCGACGAUCCGUAGCUGGGUUGAGGGUCCGACCAGCCACACUGGGACUGCGAAACGGCCCAGACUCCUACGGGAGGCAGCAGUGGGGAAUUUUGGACAAUGGGGGAAACCCUGAUCCAGCCAUCCCUCGGGUGCGAUGAAGGCCUUGGGGUUGUAAAGCACGUUUGGCAGGAAAGCGGUACCUGCAGAAUAAGCACCGGCUAACUACGUGCCAGCAGCCGCGGUAAUAC